GAUGAACGCUGGCUACAGGCUUAACACAUGCAAGUCGUGGGGAAACGGCAUUAUGUGCUUGCACAUUCUGGACGUCGACCGGCGCACGGGUGAGUAUCGCGUAUCCAACCUGCCCCUUACUUGGGGAUACCCCGUUGAAAGACGGCCUAAUACCCGAUGUGUUUCAUUGACGGCAUCCGAUAUGAAACAAAGGUUUUCCGGUAAGGGAUGGGGAUGCGUCUGAUUAGCUUGUUGGCGGGGCAACGGCCCACCAAGGCAACGAUCAGUAGGGGUUCUGAGAGGAAGGUCCCCCACAUUGGAACUGAGACACGGUCCAAACUCCUACGGGAGGCAGCAGUGAGGAAUAUUGGUCAAUGGACGCAAGUCUGAACCAGCCAAGUAGCGUGCAGGAUGACGGCCCUAUGGGUUGUAAACUGCUUUUAUGUGGGAAUAAAUUGGCGCACGUGUGCGCCAUUGCAUGUA
rnacentral:rRNA from 1 species